GAGUUUGAUUCUGGCUCAGGACGAACGCUGGCGGCGUGCUUAACACAUGCAAGUCGAACGGGAAACUUUAUUUCGGUAAAGGAUCUAGUGGCAAACGGGUGAGUAACGCGUAGGCAACCUGCCCUUAGGAUGGGGACAACGGCCCGAAAGGACCGCUAAUACCGAAUGCACUCUAACUUCCGCAUGGAAGAAAGAGGAAAGAUGGUCAAACCAUCGCCUAAGGAUGGGCCUGCGUCUGAUUAGCCAGUUGGUGAGGUAACGGCUCACCAAAGCGACGAUCAGUAGCCGGUCUGAGAGGAUGAACGGCCACAAUGGGACUGAGACACGGCCCAUACUCCUACGGGAGGCAGCAGUGGGGAAUCUUCCGCAAUGGGCGAAAGCCUGACGGAGCAACGCCGCGUGAGUGAAGAAGGUCUUCGGAUCGUAAAGCUCUGUUGUCGGGGACGAAAGAGUAGACGAGGAAAUGCGUCUACUAAGACG
rnacentral:rRNA from 1 species